rnacentral:rRNA from 1 species
CCUACGGGAGGCAGUAGUGAGGAAUAUUGGUCAAUGGACGAGAGUCUGAACCAGCCAAGUAGCGUGAAGGAUGACUGCCCUAUGGGUUGUAAACUUCUUUUAUAAAGGAAUAAAACGAGGCACGUGUGCCUUUUUGCAUGUACUUUAUGAAUAAGGAUCGGCUAACUCCGUGCCAGCAGCCGCGGUAAUACGGAGGAUCCGAGCGUUAUCCGGAUUUAUUGGGUUUAAAGGGAGCGUAGAUGGGUUGUUAAGUCAGUUGUGAAAGUUUGCGGCUCAACCGUAAAAUUGCAAUUGAUACUGGAAGUCUUGAGUACAGUUGAGGUAGGCGGAAUUCGUGGUGUAGCGGUGAAAUGCUUAGAUAUCACGAAGAACCCCGAUUGCGAAGGCAGCUUACUAAACUGUGACUGACAUUGAUGCUCGAAAGUGUGGGUAUCAAACAGGAUUAGAUACCCUUGUAGUC